UUUUGGAUUAAUGAACUUUGGGUUAAUCGGUUAAUUUUUAUGAUUGAAUGGAUUUGGAUGUGAAAUGGAUAUGAAAUGGAUUUUGGUUCCAAAUGGAUAAUGAAAAUGGAUGUGGAUUUUGGGUAUAGUUUGAAACAAAAAUGGAUUUAAAAAAAUAGAGUUGGGUUAUUGGAUGUUUGAUUAUAAAAAUGGAUAUGGAUUUUUAGGCAUAAUCCAA
rnacentral:lncRNA from 1 species